rnacentral:rRNA from 1 species
AUUGAACGCUGGCGGCGGGCCUAACACAUGCAAGUCGAGCGGAGCAGCAGACGGGUGCGGAAUGCCUAGGAAUCUGCCUGGUAGCGAGGGAUGGCGUCCGGAAACGGGCGCUAAUACCGCUUACUAUUCGCUGAGCCUAGGUCGGAUUAGCUAGUUGGUGGGGUAACGGCCUACCAAGUCGACGAUCCGUAACUGGUCUGAGAGGAUGAGCAGUCACACUGGAACUGAGACACGGUCCAGACUCCUACGGGAGGCAGCAGUGGGGAAUAUUGGACAAUGGGCGAAAGCCUGAUCCAGCCAUGCCGCGUGUGUGAAGAAGGUCUUCGGAUUGUAAAGCACUUUAAGUUGGGAGGCGUUACCAACAGAAUAAGCACCGGCUAACUUCGUGCCAGCAGCCGCGGUAAUAC